rnacentral:rRNA from 1 species
UGGGGAAUAUUGGACAAUGGGGGGAACCCUGAUCCAGCCAUGCCGCGUGUGUGAAGAAGGCCUUAUGGUUGUAAAGCACUUUAAGUUGGGAGGAAGGGCAGUAAGCGAAUACCUUGCUGUUUUGACGUUACCGACAGAAUAAGCACCGGCUAACUCUGUGCCAGCAGCCGCGGUAAUACAGAGGGUGCAAGCGUUAAUCGGAAUUACUGGGCGUAAAGCGCGCGUAGGUGGUUCGUUAAGUUGAAUGUGAAAGCCCCGGGCUCAACCUGGGAACUGCAUCCAAAACUGGCGAGCUAGAGUAGGGCAGAGGGUGGUGGAAUUUCAUGUGUAGCGGUGAAAUGCGUAGAUAUAGGAAGGAACACCAGUGGCGAAGGCGACCACCUGGGCUCAUACUGACACUGAGGUGCGAAAGCGUGGGGAGCAAACAGG